rnacentral:rRNA from 1 species
AUUGAACGCUGGCGGCAGGCCUAACACAUGCAAGUCGAACGGUAACAGGAAGAAGCUUGCUUCUUUGCUGACGAGUGGCGGACGGGUGAGUAAUGUCUGGGAAACUGCCUGAUGGAGGGGGAUAACUACUGGAAACGGUAGCUAAUACCGCAUAACGUCGCAAGACCAAAGAGGGGGACCUUCGGGCCUCUUACCAUCGGAUGUGCCCAGAUGGGAUUAGCUAGUAGGUGGGGUAACGGCUCACCUAGGCGACGAUCCCUAGCUGGUCUGAGAGGAUGACCAGCCACACUGGAACUGAGACACGGUCCAGACUCCUACGGGAGGCAGCAGUGGGGAAUAUUGCACAAUGGGCGCAAGCCUGAUGCAGCCAUGCCGCGUGUAUGAAGAAGGCCUUCGGGUUGUAAAGUACUUUCAGCGGGGAGGAAGGGAGUAAAGUUAAUACCUUUACUCAUUGACGUUACCCGCAGAAGAAGCACCGGCUAACUCCGUG